CGCCAUUCAGGUAAGGUUCGCAAGGAAGUCAGAGCAGAUCUCCUCAACACUAGCCUCGAAGGGAGCAUUGCCCGCCAAACUGAUCAAGAUCACAUGAAAGUAUAGUUUAUACCUUCCUGUUAGGAGUAUCCUUUUAUGACAAGCCUGGGUUUGAUUCUCACAAUGUUUUCAUCUUCAUCCAACUUGUUUUUUAAUACCAACUUAGC
rnacentral:lncRNA from 1 species